rnacentral:rRNA from 2 species
UUAAAUUGAAGAGUUUGAUCAUGGCUCAGAUUGAACGCUGGCGGCAGGCCUAACACAUGCAAGUCGAACGGUAACAGGAAACAGCUUGCUGUUUCGCUGACGAGUGGCGGACGGGUGAGUAAUGUCUGGGAAACUGCCUGAUGGAGGGGGAUAACUACUGGAAACGGUAGCUAAUACCGCAUAACGUCGCAAGACCAAAGAGGGGGACCUUCGGGCCUCUUGCCAUCGGAUGUGCCAGAUGGGAUUAGCUAGUAGGUGGGGUAACGGCUCACCUAGGCGACGAUCCCUAGCUGGUCUGAGAGGAUGACCAGCCACACUGGAACUGAGACACGGUCCAGACUCCUACGGGAGGCAGCAGUGGGGAAUAUUGCACAAUGGGCGCAAGCCUGAUGCAGCCAUGCCGCGUGUAUGAAGAAGGCCUUCGGGUUGUAAAGUACUUUCAGCGGGGAGGAAGGGAGUAAAGUUAAUACCUUUGCUCAUUGACGUUACCCGCAGAAGAAGCACCGGCUAACUCCGUGCCAGCAGCCGCGGUAAUACGGAGGGUGCAAGCGUUAAUCGGAAUUACUGGGCGUAAAGCGCACGCAGGCGGUUUGUUAAGUCAGAUGUGAAAUCCCCGGGCUCAACCUGGGAACUGCAUCUGAUACUGGCAAGCUUGAGUCUCGUAGAGGGGGGUAGAAUUCCAGGUGUAGCGGUGAAAUGCGUAGAGAUCUGGAGGAAUACCGGUGGCGAAGGCGGCCCCCUGGACGAAGACUGACGCUCAGGUGCGAAAGCGUGGGGAGCAAACAGGAUUAGAUACCCUGGUAGUCCACGCCGUAAACGAUGUCGACUUGGAGGUUGUGCCCUUGAGGCGUGGCUUCCGGAGCUAACGCGUUAAGUCGACCGCCUGGGGAGUACGGCCGCAAGGUUAAAACUCAAAUGAAUUGACGGGGGCCCGCACAAGCGGUGGAGCAUGUGGUUUAAUUCGAUGCAACGCGAAGAACCUUACCUGGUCUUGACAUCCACGGAAGUUUUCAGAGAUGAGAAUGUGCCUUCGGGAACCGUGAGACAGGUGCUGCAUGGCUGUCGUCAGCUCGUGUUGUGAAAUGUUGGGUUAAGUCCCGCAACGAGCGCAACCCUUAUCCUUUGUUGCCAGCGGUCCGGCCGGGAACUCAAAGGAGACUGCCAGUGAUAAACUGGAGGAAGGUGGGGAUGACGUCAAGUCAUCAUGGCCCUUACGACCAGGGCUACACACGUGCUACAAUGGCGCAUACAAAGAGAAGCGACCUCGCGAGAGCAAGCGGACCUCAUAAAGUGCGUCGUAGUCCGGAUUGGAGUCUGCAACUCGACUCCAUGAAGUCGGAAUCGCUAGUAAUCGUGGAUCAGAAUGCCACGGUGAAUACGUUCCCGGGCCUUGUACACACCGCCCGUCACACCAUGGGAGUGGGUUGCAAAAGAAGUAGGUAGCUUAACCUUCGGGAGGGCGCUUACCACUUUGUGAUUCAUGACUGGGGUGAAGUCGUAACAAGGUAACCGUAGGGGAACCUGCGGUUGGAUCACCUCCUUACCUUAAAGAAGC